rnacentral:lncRNA from 1 species
AAAAAAAAAAAAAAAAAAAAAAAAAAAAAAAAAAAAAAAAAAAAAAAAAAAAAAAAAAAAAAAAAAAAAAAAAAAAAAAAAAAAAAAAAAAAAAAAAAAGAGUUCUUUAUAAUUGUUGUCGAAUGGCUUAGUUAUAAGCAAACUGGAAAUCUGUUUUAUGAUAACUAGGGGAAUAAUAAGUUAUAUAUUUUGGUUUAAUUUUUAACAUUGUUGAAAAAAAUAAUAUUUUAAAAUUUCAAAUAAGUGAUAUAUUUAUUUUAGACAAACAUGUACUUAAUUUAAUUGGUCAAAUAUAUUUUUUAUUCAUACAUUUUGUAAAACCUAUAAUAUCUUAUCCGCUUAUCAUCCUCACACUUUGUAAG